ACUCAAAGGAAUAGACGGGGGCCCGCACAAGCGGUGGAGCAUGUGGUUUAAUUCGAUGCAACGCGAAAAACCUUACCUGGGCUUAACAUCCCCGGACCGCUGUAGAAAUACAGUUUCCUCUUCGGAGGCCGGGUGAUAGGUGCUGCAUGGCUGUCGUCAGCUCGUAUCGUGAGAUGUCGGGUUAAGUCCCUUAACGAGCGCAACCCUUAUCCUUAGUUGCUACCAUUCAGUUGGGCACUCUAAGGAGACUGCCGGUGUUAAACCGGAGGAAGGUGGGGAUGACGUCAAGUCCUCAUGGCCCUUACGUCCAGGGCCACACACGUGCUACAAUGGCUGGUACAGAGGGUCGCCAACCCGCGAGGGGGAGCUAAUCUCAGAAAACCAGUCUCAGUUCGGAUUGGAGUCUGCAAUUCGACUCCAUGAAGUUGGAAUCGCUAGUAAUCGCGAAUCAGCAGGUCGCGGUGAAUACGUUCCCGGGCCUUGCACACACCGCCCGU
rnacentral:rRNA from 1 species